rnacentral:rRNA from 1 species
GGAGACGUUGUGCCGCAAGGCACACCGUCCUCGAGAACUUGAUCAAACUUGAUCAUUUAGAGGAAGUAAAAGUCGUAACAAGGUUUCCGUAGGUGAACCUGCGGAAGGAUCAUUAACGAAUCCAAUCUUACCUGCCUUAGCGGUUCAAUUGAUGCUGUCUUCGGGGUUGGCGCUUGCGCCAUUAAAUCACUAGUGGGAAACGGAUCACGGUGUAAUGCCAUGGUUCGGGUGGGCCCCGUUUGAGUUUUACUUCCCACGCGAGUUUUCUAUCAUGCCUAAACGUAUCAAUGACCUUUGACUAUAUGUCAAAGUGAAUGCCUUAAAAGCGAACAACUUUUAACGGUGGAUCUCUUGGCUCGUGCAUCGAUGAAGAACGCAGCAAACUGCGAUAAGUAAUGUGAAUUGCAGAAUUUAGUGAAUCAUCGAAUCUUUGAACGCAAAUGGCGCUCCUGGGUCCUCCCAGGAGCACGUCUGUCUGAGCGUCGUUUCUCACAUCUAACACACAUGUAUGUGUGUGUUGGGCAAUGAGGUGUCCUUUCUAAGAUACAGCUGUGUCAUACAUAGGUGUAUGAAGAUGAUUGGUCCCUUGAAGUUGAGCAAUCCCCGGGUUGGGUGCCCCGUUUAGCGGGUCAACUCCUCGGCGUGAUAGUAACAUAACACGUCUGAGAAGUGGACCAUAAACACGUUACUCGAGUGGUUACUUCAACGUACGGCGGUGAAGGAUGCGACGGAUGCGCCAACACAUGUGCGUAGACCAACCAAGACCUCAGAUCAGGCGAGACUACCCGCUGAACUUAAGCAUAUCAAUAAGCGGAGGAAAAGAAACUAACCAGGAUUCCCUUAGUAAUGGCGAACGAACAGGGAACAGCUCAAAUUUGAAAUCUCGAUCGCUUGCGGUCGCGAAUUGUAGUUUCCAGAAACGUUAUCCCCGCCGCGGUGACCGGUCCAAGAUGCUUGGAACAGCAUAUCAGAGAGGGUGAGAAUCCCGUUUCUGGCCGGUCCUUCG